rnacentral:rRNA from 1 species
GAUGAACGCUGGCGGCGUGCCUAAUACAUGCAAGUCGAACGAACAGACGAGGAGCUUGCUCCUCUGACGUUAGCGGCGGACGGGUGAGUAACACGUGGAUAACCUACCUAUAAGACUGGGAUAACUUCGGGAAACCGGAGCUAAUACCGGAUAAUAUGUUGAAUCGCAUGGUUCAACAGUGAAAGACGGUCUUGCUGUCACUUAUAGAUGGAUCCGCGCCGCAUUAGCUAGUUGGUAAGGUAACGGCUUACCAAGGCAACGAUGCGUAGCCGACCUGAGAGGGUGAUCGGCCACACUGGAACUGAGACACGGUCCAGACUCCUACGGGAGGCAGCAGUAGGGAAUCUUCCGCAAUGGGCGAAAGCCUGACGGAGCAACGCCGCGUGAGUGAAGAAGGUCUUCGGAUCGUAAAACUCUGUUAUUAGGGAAGAACAAAUGUGUAAGUAACUAUGCACGUCUUGACGGUACCUAAUCAGAAAGCCACGGCUAACUACGUG